CCUACGGGAGGCAGCAGUGGGGGAUAUUGCACAAUGGGGGAAACCCUGAUGCAGCGACGCCGCGUGGGUGAAGAAGCGCCUCGGCGCGUAAAGCCCUGUCAGCAGGGAAGAAAAUGACGGUACCUGAAGAAGAAGCCCCGGCUAACUACGUGCCAGCAGCCGCGGUAAUACGUAGGGGGCAAGCGUUAUCCGGAUUUACUGGGUGUAAAGGGGGCGCAGACGGCGAUGCAAGCCAGGAGUGAAAGCCCGGGGCCCAACCCCGGGACUGCUCGUGGAACUGCGUGGCUAGAGUGCAGGAGGGGCAGGCGGAAUUCCUGGUGUAGCGGUGAAAUGCGUAGAUAUCAGGAGGAACAUCGGUGGCGAAGGCGGCCUGCUGGACUGCAACUGACGUUGAGGCCCGAAAGCGUGGGGAGCAAACAGGAUUAGAUACCCCAGUAGUC
rnacentral:rRNA from 1 species